GCAACGAAAAAUAAUGAAAAAAGAACUAGGAUUUUAUCUCCAUCACCGACUUCGACGAAACAAUUUUUCGGAGGAUAAAAAGUAGAUUCUUUGAAAUAAUAUGAACUUCGAAGAAAUUGUGGAGGAAAUAGACCAAAAGGACCUGAGAGGGAAUGACAGAGAGAUCCCUUCGUCCCUGACUUGACGAUCGAGAUUGUCAAAUUCAAGGUGCCGAUAGAAUUCCAUUGCUCAAGAGAAGAACUUCGUGACUUCGCGAUCUCCAUAGCGAAUUAGGAGCGAUCGAAUCGAAUGGCAUCGUCUUCGAGCAGUGGACUGACGUUCUAGCUCCUCCAGGCACCAGCUGGUGAUAGUUGAAACGUAUCGGAUCACUGCACGAGUGGAAAUCCCAGAUUAACCACGUCAGCGGCAGCGACCACCGACAGCAGUCGCAGCCGACGGAUUGCGUAUGCAUUAUAGGGCAGAAGGGCAUAAUCGAGAUCUUCAACAGCUUUGAGCUCCUUUGCUAUCCCUCCACUCACUUCCUGGACCGCUCCUUCCUUGUGAGGAAGCAGCUUUGUAUGUUUCUUUUUUAUUCUCCUACAUUUUUGCAUUCUUUUUUUAUUUCUGUCAUUGUUUGUUGGCCGAUUUUAUUUGUUUGGAGCAUAUAAGAAGGUCUUCUAGCAUUUUUACGAUGUGUUCUUCUUGGAGUGAUUCCCAGGAGGCAGAUAUGCAUAUACACAAAGCUGGGUUAGGCAGGGUGAUCCCUUAUCGCCCUUCUUAUUCAUUUGGGGAAUGGAUAUUUUGAGUUGUAUGUUGGAUAGAGCAGUUUCGUAUGGCUUGCUUGAUGGAGCCAAGAUUGAAGGUAGAGCUAAUUCAGUCUCAAUUUCGAACCUGCUGUAUGCUGAUGACACGCUGUGUUUUUGUGGAGGUAGUGCGGAGUAAGUAGCUAAUCUCCGUGCCAUCCUGCUAGGCUUUGAAGCUAUCUCUGGUUUGAAGGUUAAUCUGAGUAAGAGUAAAAUCAUCCCUUUGGGAAACACUUCAAACGUUGAGCUCCUUACUGGGUACUUGGGUGUGGAGUCUCCAGCUUGCCUUCAAGCUAUCUUGGGCUUCCCUUGGGUGCUAAAUAUAAAGACCAGAGUAUUUGGAAUCCCUUGGUGGCAAAUUUUGAUAAAAAGCUUUCGAGAUGGAGGAGGAACUAUCUCUCUAAAGCAGGGAGGCUAACUCUCAUUAAAAGUACUCUAUCUAACCUCCCUGUCUACAUGUUGUCUAUUCUCCCCAUCCCCUCCUCCAUUGCUGGUAGGCUUGAGUCAAUUAUGUGCAGAUUCCUUUGGGGCGAUUUGAUGGAGAGUAGGAAAAUUCAUUUGGUGAAUUGGAGUUGUGUUAAGCUCUCAAAAGAGGUUGGAGGCCAUGGGAUAAAAUGCUUGAUCACAUUUAAUGAGGCCUUACUGGGUAAAUGGCUAUGGAGGUUUGCCAUCAACAAAGAUCAGUUGUGGCGGAAAUUAUUGCUUGCAAAUAUGGCACUGGCAUCUAUGGAUGGUCCACGAAGCAGAUCAAAGGGCCAUAUGGCCGCAGUAUGUGAAAAUAUAUAAUGAAAGGUUGGGCUGAUUGGUUUGCUUUAACCCACUUCCAAGCUGGCAGGGGCAACUCAAUAAGUUUCCGGAGUGAUCAUUGGACAGGAGACACCUCUCUGAAGGACUCUUUUCCUAAUUUAUACACUUUAGCAACCCUGAAGGAUGCUUCAAUUAUCCAAUUAUUUCAAGCCUCUGCUGGAUAGUUUUCUGGGAAUAUCAACUUCACUCGUGAGGCACAAGAUUGGGAAGUGGUGACUUUCACAAACUUCUGGAGCCUCGUCUAUAGUGCAAAGAUCAAUCCUGCUUGUGAGGAUAAAAUUUGUUGGAAGGCUGCAAAAAACAACUAUUUUUCUGUGAGUUCUUUCUAUAAGGAACUUCUGAAAGAUAUAUUGCACAAUGGGAACUCUCAAUUCCCUUGGCAAUGGCUUUGGAAAUCUAAGGCUCCCCCUAAGUGGAUUUUUUUCUGCUGGGAGGCAGUUUGGGGUAAAAUCCUAACAAUGGAUAACUUGCAAAGGAGAGGCAUUUCGUUGGUGAACCAAUGUUGCCUCUGUAAAGCAGGUUUGGAAUCUAUCAGCCAUCUUCUCUUGCACUGCGUGUGGUUUUCUAAAAUUUGGGCAAAUGUUGUGAUGAUGCUGGGCAUUUCUUGGGUCAUUAAUUCUUCAGUGGAUAAGGAAUUAUUGGCUUGGAAGGGUGCAGGCAGGGACAAAAGGCAAGGAAGUUUUAUCCAAUUAAUUCCAAUUUCUGUGAUGUGGAUGCUAUGGCUGGAGAGGAAUUACAGAGUGUUCAAAAACAAAAGAAUCUUCCAUAGACACUUUCUUAGUCACCUGGUUUGAUUGCCUUAGGUUCUGGGGCACUUCCUUUUCUGGGAACAUUUUUGAUCAUCUGUCUAUCUCCCCCCUGUAAUCUGUUUGGGCUGCACCCCCUUGGUGCUUGAAUAAAACUUUUUCCAUUCAAAAAAAAAAAAUCAUUCAUGCACAAUAGGAUUUUCCUACCACGAUUUAUGAAGA